rnacentral:lncRNA from 1 species
CCAUAAUAAUAAAUUUUUUAGCUACCAUUACCUACACGCACAUGGCCUUGACAUCAUUUAUAAUUCAAAGACCUGGAAUGUGGUGUCUGAGUGAGACUUCGUUAGUCAGAAAAAUCCACCAGAUUUAUGUGAAAAUCCAGAAAGAAAAGGCAACACCAUGGCUCACUGCACCAUUUCCACUCACGUUCUUUCUUGUGAGACCAGCUUCCUCUAGUGACAGAUUUCAGGGCGUUUUCAAAGGAUCCCAAUGCCCCAAGGGAAAAGAAGAGGCAGUAUCCAUUCUGAAGAUGACAUAAACCAUUGCUAACUGUGUCUUCAUCAUGUAUUUCUUUAUUUCAAGCUCAUGACACUGUCUCACGCUUAAUACGGUGUUUAACACAAUGGUCCUCAAGUUUUCCUGCGUAUUAGAAUCACCUAGGGAGUUUUAAAGCCUUCUGAUGCCUGGGCUGCACCCCAGAGCAAUUAAAUUGGAAUAUCAGAGGAGCCAACAGGAAAAAAUGCACCAGGAGGGAAAGACAGGAAAGGAGGGACAAGAGAGGAAGGGGGGCUCCACACAUCUGCAGCAGGAAAGGCUCGGAUUGCACCACCCACCCCUGCCUGCUGCACACGAGGCUGGGAGCUACCUUGGACUUUGUGGUCGUGGUCAUCCUGCAGGAUUGUGAUGGCAACUGUGUGGUUAUUUUCCAUCUCUAGGAGAGCAGCAUCAUGGCUGGCGGUGAGAUCUUCCACCUGGAGGAGAGUCGCAGUUACUGGUUAGACAGAGAGCUGCUUGGAGAACAGAAGUGGAAUUCCGUGAGUGGAAAAGGUCCGUGACCCAAAACAUCAAUGACAAGUCACAGCCUUGUGCCGAAGCAGGAGAGCUGGACUUUGGUGGUGAUGUGGCAGCCCUCGGAAUCACGGGGAGGUCACUGCCACAACCUGGCUCUUUGUAGGGGGGUCCAACUCCAGGCAGGGGAUCACUGCCUGAGGUACCUCUUUAGAGUCCUGAGUGUGGCUCCUGGACCAUCCCCUUCCCACUGCUUGUCCACGCGCUUGCACCGCUAUGAGCGAUGACGGCAAAGGAAAAGAAAAGCGUCCUCCCUACGAGGUGGUCUGUUUCCCAGUGGCAGGGGGAGCUACGGUACACAAGCACAGGUUCACAUUUAUGAAGCAGCCAAUAAGAAUUCCCAGCCUGAGAGGACCUUGGAACCAGAAGGAAUUGGAGGAGAUUUAAACAAGCUGACCCAAGGAAAGCACAAGAUCUUUCUAUGCAUUGAAGAUCACCAAAUCAAAGAUAAAAGUGCUCGACCAUUAUGGCCUAUGGCAAACUCGGGCUGGCUGAAGCAUCCUUCUCUUCCAUUUAGAACCCUGGUGAGGCCCCUUAGACCACCACUGGGCUGUCCUCCUCCCUCCUCAGAGACAGAGUUCUGGGCUGGGCCAUGGAGGUGUCUGUCAACACGGCAGUAGUCCUCGUUCUAUGGAAAACCAGCUGUUCCCUGUGACACGACUCCAUUCCCGCAGCUGCCUGCUAUUCAGCUGGGCUGACGGACAGCAGAGCACAGGGUUGGAAGACCACCCUCUCAGACAGUUUGAAAUCUCUAAAAGGCCGCCGUGUCCCGGCUUUAAAAAGAGGUGAAGCACAUCUCUCGGCACAUGCUUCUGCAUAGGUGAGGCCUCAGCGAGGCGUCCUGGCCCCUGAGUGGAGAUGCUCCCCUCAGCCGUGCCUCAGCUCCAGGGCACCAUCACGAGAGGCUUCGUUCAGGGUCUCCUGCCUGCGGACCACCUCUUACGUCUCCUCCUCACCUUCUGGUGUCGUCUCAACCAACUCAGACCUUCAGAUCAGAGGCCUUUGGUUUACCAAGAAGCUCACUGAGAGGCGACACAAACGGCCAAGAACAUGAAAAGACGGUCAGUGCCCUUGCAGAUGGAAGCAGGCAAUCAUUUUUCACCUGCAAGGCUGAUAAAGAUGAAAUGUUCUGAUAAUACAGGAAGAGUAUAAGGAAACUGUCACUCGAUGGACUCCAGGUGAAAUAUAACUAAUCCAGCUGCCUUGGAGGGAAAAGAUAUCUUUCAAAAUUGAAAUGACAGGAAUGGCAGCAUUAUGGGUGGGAGAUAAAGAAUCUGGGUUUCUUUCAGGGGUGAUGAAAAUGUUCUAAAACGGAUUGUGGUGACAGUUUUCCACAACUCGGAAUAUACUGAAAACCACCACAUUGUAUACUUAAAUGGGUGGGUUGUAUGGUAUGUGAAUUAUAUCUCAAUAAAAUUUUUACCAAAAGA